UCUGCCUAUAGAGGCCUGGGGUCCCUUUGGCAGCACUUUUCUCAAGAAAGUAGAGUCGUGGACAACCAACUGCACAGGUUGGGAGGCUUUGAAGAACAAGCUGCCAUGAAUCCUGCAGCUACAAGGAAAUGAACUCUAUUAACUUGAGUGAGCUUAAAACUAGAUCCUUCCCCAGUCAAGCCUCCAGGUGAGAAUUCAAUCCUGGCUGGCACCUGGAUUGCAGCUUACAGAAGACCCAGCUAAGGCCAUGUCUGGACUUUAAAUCCACAGGAACUGCAAGAUGGUAUCAGAAGUGGGACCUGCAGUGGGGCAUCUAGCAACCCCCAGGAGCAUUGAGUGACCAGGCUUGGGACCCACCGGGCGCAGGGUGUCCAUUGUUCUCUCGAAGCAACUGAGAAUUGUGGAUAUUCUUCAUUAUUCCAUCAUCAUCUCAAACCUCUUGGGUAUAGUGUUUGACUACUACUGUGACCAUAAAUUCCAAUAAAACCUAGGAAAAAUGAAACCACUACAUUAACUGAAAGGAAGCUCAAGUGAUAGAAAUAACACAGGACAGGAAGUAAGACAGUUCUCGUCUGAAGUUCUUCUCUGACAGCCCACAAACUAGUUAAUAUAUGUGCCUGUCACAGUCUCCACCAGAAGCUUUAUCUUACUACAGAGUCCAGAUGCAUUAAGGCUGUGUUCGAGCCAUGAUCUUCCUCUGAAGAAGAAAUGAAGAAGAAAUUUAUCUUAUUUUUGGAUAUAGUGUUCUUAGUUGGCAGUUUAAUUAUUAUUUUUACUUCAUCACUUUGUAUACGUCAUCGCACUUUCUCCUGGCCUAUAAGAUCUCUCCUGAGAAAUUUUACGUUCUACUUUACUGGAACUUCAUUAAAUAUUAUUUGCAUCAUUUUU
rnacentral:lncRNA from 1 species